UACGUAGGGUGCGAGCGUUGUCCGGAAUUAUUGGGCGUAAAGGGCUCGUAGGCGGUUUGUCGCGUCGGGAGUGAAAACGCCGUGCUUAACACGGCGCUUGCUUUCGAUACGGGCAGACUAGAGGUAUUCAGGGGAGAACGGAAUUCCUGGUGUAGCGGUGAAAUGCGCAGAUAUCAGGAGGAACACCGGUGGCGAAGGCGGUUCUCUGGGCAUGUCCUGACGCUGAGGAGCGAAAGUGUGGGGAGCGAACAGG
rnacentral:rRNA from 1 species